GGGAACAAAUUAUUUUGGAAGAGACUGGUAUUAUUCAUGCGUAAAUGAAUAGGUUUUGACGAAUGUUGUAUACCAAAUACUUUUACUUUUCAGAAGAAUUUUUAGAAUGUAGGUUUUGUUUUUUGUUUGUUGCUGAUUUUUUAACUCUUGGUACACGUGACCAAAAAUGAUUUAAGAGAUCAUGAACUUUUCUAUACCAGAUAGGUUCUGAGCAAAUUACUAUAGAUCGUCAGUCGAAUAAGGUUGAUCUUAGCAGCUUUAUUGCCAAUGAUGCCCAUUUGUUUAGUUUCUUGAUUGUUGGGUCAAAUUAGAACUUUGGAAAUCACAAAUCUUAUUUUUAAGAUAAUGAAUGUCUCUUCUAUGAAUUAAAACUAUUCAAAAAAUGUCACCUCUUUUUGCAUCCAGUAUUGUCACACAAUACCCGUAUUUUAUCAAUCAUUUUAUAAUCAUAUCAAUUUCAACAUUUAUGUACAUAUUCUAAUAAAAUGAACAGAUUUUUAUUUGAUUUAUAUAUUUAUCGGGCGUCAAUUGAUGCCAACAUUAACAUAUUUUGGUUUAUCUUUUGUAUAACUGUUAGUUUUGAGCAUGAGAAAUAUUGGUAGAAUUAAAAUUCAGCAAAAUUCCCUAAAUAUUUCAAUCUCAGAAAAAGAAAAUUCUCUGUGGUAUAUAACAUAUAUGUCAAACCAUUUACAUUGUAUGUACAUUUCCGUGUCGAUAGGAAGAUUUCUGCCAUUGACACAAGACACAAUUACAAGUUAGUCUCUUGUAAAUUUUCUUGAAGGUUCACUUCAAAAUAUGGCUGACACAAAAUAUUCCUUAAUUCAUCUUCAGAUUUCUAACCUUUUUCUGUGCGAUUGAUGCUGAUUUUUGGAUGAGAAUAAAAUCACAAUGAAAGAU
rnacentral:misc_RNA from 1 species